rnacentral:lncRNA from 1 species
UGGGUGUCUAGUAUUUUGGUCAGGGGGUUGGACGUAGACAUGUUUCCUGUAGAGAGUCAAAAGUUUUUAGCUAGAUUUUGUAAUCAGACUUAACUAAUUUAUUUAGGGGUUUCAUUUUUAAACAAAUUAGGCUCUCACUAUUUUCUCAGAUCUCUACACUCCCUAGGUAGAGAUGUGAAAAUCUCCAUGAUUAGUAAUUUCUAGUGGGUGGUGCGGUCU